rnacentral:rRNA from 1 species
UGGGAACCUUCCCUAUGGUUCGGAAUAGCUCAGGGGAAACUUGGGGUAAUACCGGAUAAGCCCUUCGGGGGAAAGAUUUAUCGCCGAAAGAUUGGCCCGCGUCUGAUUAGCUAGUUGGUGAGGUAAUGGCUCACCAAGGCGACGAUCAGUAGCUGGUCUGAGAGGGUGACCGGCCACACUGGGACUGAGACACGGCCCAGACUCCUACGGGAGGCAG